AGGACGAACGCUGGCGGCGUGCUUAACACAUGCAAGUCGAGCGGAAAGGCCCUUCGGGGUACUCGAGCGGCGAACGGGUGAGUAACACGUGAGCAACCUGCCCUUAGCUCUGGGAUAGCUCCGGGAAACCGGAAUUAAUACCGAAUAUGACUUUGGCUGACAUCAGCAGAAGUGGAAAGUUUUUCGGCUAGGGAUGGACUCGCGGCCUAUCAGCUAGUUGGUGAGGUAACGGCCCACCAAGGCGACGACGGGUA
rnacentral:rRNA from 1 species